rnacentral:lncRNA from 1 species
GGUGUGAUCUCGGCUCACUGCAACCUUCACCUCCCAGGUUCAAGUGAUCCUUCCUCCUCAGCCUCCCAAGUAGCUGGGACUAUAGGCACACCACGAUGCCCAGCUAAUUUUUUUUUUUUUUUUUUUUUUGUAGAGACGGGGUUUCACCAUGUUGCCCAGGCUAGUCUCGAACUCCUGGGCUCAAGUGAUCCACCUACCUCACAGCCUUCCAGAGUGCUGGGAUUACAGGUGUGAGCCACCACACCCAGCCAAGUAGAUAUAUUUAGAAAUCUUUAUCCAACAUUUAAGGAAUAUGUGUUUUUCUCAAGCACAUAUGGAACAUUUGCAAAUCUCAAAUACCAAAGAAGCAACAUCAUAUAAGCUAUUUAGUGUCUACAAUAUAAUUAAAGAACAAUAACAAAAACUUGGAGAAGAAAAAACUGUGUUUGUAAAAGUUAAAAUACACUAACUCAUUAUGUUACUGAUUCAUAAAUUUAUGGAUUGUGCCAUGAGAUAUAAAGAAUUCCAAAUAUGUAGUUCUUGUGAGGCAAAUGAAGCCUGGUUGUGAAAGAAAAAAGUAACACAUUAGUGUAAGUAGAUUAGCACAGCCAAUUUUAAUUAGAUCACUUUCUGCCCAGAAUUAGAGAGCAAGCUGAUGAUAAUAAUAUUGCUUAUAUGGUUCUUCACAGUCUUAAAGCAACUUCAUGCACACUUCUAAAAAAAAAAGAAAAGAAAAUACUUGGAAUGAUAGUAACACUAUAUAUUGAACCUUAUAAGAUGUAGCUUUAAAAAUAAAAGUACUUCAGGAAAAUAUAGCGUUAAAUGUUUAUGUUAAAAAGAAGGCUGGAAAGAAGUAAUGAAGGCCAGGUACAGUGGCUCACGCCUGUAAUCCUAACACUUUGGGAAGGAGAGGCGGGUGGAUUUCUUGAGUCCAGGAGUUCCAGACCAGCCUGGGCAACAUAGCAAGACCCCAUCUCUACAGAAAAUACAAAAAGUAACCAGGCGUGGUGGUGCACACCUGUAGUCUCAGCUA